CCCAAGAGGAAGACCUUCUUCCUUUCUUUUUCUCACACCAUAAAAAAAGCUUUUUCAUAUUUUGACGCUCAAAAAUCAGCAGCUUUCUCACAUUGAAGGGGCUCUUUAAAUAGGCGUGGAUUAGGGCCAACAGGUGUUUAGAGGGGCAUCAACUCUUAGAUGCCUUCCACCUUCUUUUAUGGUGUGUAAGAAAAAAAGGAUCCCACAGCUUUACUA
rnacentral:lncRNA from 1 species